GACGGGACCCGCACAAGCGGUGGAUGAUGUGGUUUAAUUCGAUGCAACGCGAAAACCUUACCCACCUUUGACAUGUACGGAAGCCUUUAGAGAUAGAGGCGUGCUCGAAAGAGAGCCGUAACACAGGUGCUGCAUGGCUGUCGUCAGCUCGUGUCGUGAGAUGUUGGGUUAAGUCCCGCAACGAGCGCAACCCUUAUCCCCAGUUGCCAUCAGGUAAAGCUGGGAACUCUGGGGAGACUGCCGGUGAUAAACCGGAGGAAGGCGGGGAUGACGUCAAGUCCUCAUGGCCCUUACAUCCCGGGCUACACACGUGCUACAAUGGCAGGUACAGAGGGCUGCGAAGCCGCGAGGUGGAGCGAAUCCCAGAAAACCUGUCUCAGUCCGGAUUGAAGUCUGCAACUCGACUUCACGAAGGCGGAAUCGCUAGUAACCGCGAAUCAGCAGGUCGCGGUGAAUACGUUCCCGGGCCUU
rnacentral:rRNA from 1 species